CUGGGCCCUGCCCCACCAGGGACAAGCUCUAGAGAGCUUUUCCUUCUAGUGACCUUUUAUUUCAAAUGUUGAUUACUCAUUUGAUUCCCUGACCAUGGCUACCAUUACUAUUUUAAGUGCCUCUCUCCUUCUGAGCAGUGAAGUUCCAGUGGGCUGAAUUCAAGGGAAACAAAAUUUGAGUGACUGGUCUCUAAGGCAUGGUCUCCCGGUGCCCUGUAAAAGGGUCUUUUAUCACCCAAAGGGGUCAUGAUCUACAGGUUGAGAACUUCUGCUCUGAGGCCACGGAGACAGUGGCACCAUAGACAUGGACAAUGUAACCAUUCCCAAAGGAAGGUGGAUGAUUCUAAGCUAGGCAGCAACCUCCAGAUGCAUCCAUAAAUCCAAGACAAAGAUACAACCAAAAACCAUUUCUGACUCCUGCUUCUUGUCUCUACAAACAAACAUCACUGGUCCACCCUCCUGCCUACAGCCCCUAUGAACUCUGUCUCUGAUUUACACUUGGAAAAUACUUGCAAUUCUUAACCCCUCUAGAUGCA